rnacentral:rRNA from 1 species
UACGUAGGGUCCGAGCGUUGUCCGGAGUUACUGGGCGUAAAGCGCGCGCAGGCGGCGGUGUAAGCAUGGCGUGAAAGCCCCUGGCUUAACCAGGGAGGGUCGUCGUGGACUGCACCGCUUGAGGGCGGUAGGGGCUGGUGGAAUGCCUGGUGUAGUGGUGAAAUGCGUAGAGAUCAGGCGGAACACCCGUGGCGAAGGCG